rnacentral:rRNA from 1 species
GAUUCAGCGGCGGACGGGUGAGUAAUGCCUAGGAAUCUGCCUGGUAGUGGGGGAUAACGUCCGGAAACGGGCGCUAAUACCGCAUACGUCCUGAGGGAGAAAGUGGGGGAUCUUCGGACCUCACGCUAUCAGAUGAGCCUAGGUCGGAUUAGCUAGUUGGUGGGGUAAAGGCCUACCAAGGCGACGAUCCGUAACUGGUCUGAGAGGAUGAUCAGUCACACUGGAACUGAGACACGGUCCAGACUCCUACGGGAGGCAGCAGUGGGGAAUAUUGGACAAUGGGCGAAAGCCUGAUCCAGCCAUGCCGCGUGUGUGAAGAAGGUCUUCGGAUUGUAAAGCACUUUAAGUUGGGAGGAAGGGCAGUAAGUUAAUACCUUGCUGUUUUGACGUUACCAACAGAAUAAGCACCGGCUAACUUCGUGCCAGCAGCCGCGGUAAUACGAAGGGUGCAAGCGUUAAUCGGAAUUACUGGGCGUAAAGCGCGCGUAGGUGGUUCAGCAAGUUGGAUGUGAAAUCCCCGGGCUCAACCUGGGAACUGCAUCCAAAACUACUGAGCUAGAGUACGGUAGAGGGUGGUGGAAUUUCCUGUGUAGCGGUGAAAUGCGUAGAUAUAGGAAGGAACACCAGUGGCGAAGGCGACCACCUGGACUGAUACUGACACUGAGGUGCGAAAGCGUGGGGAGCAAACAGG